rnacentral:rRNA from 1 species
UACGUAGGAGGCGAGCGUUGUCCGGAGUUACUGGGCGUAAAGGGUGCGUAGGCGGCCGCGCGCGUGGCGGGUGAAAUCUCUCGGCUUACCCGGGAGGGUGCUUGCCAGACGGCGUGGCUUGAGGGACGGAGAGGGGCGUGGAAUUCCCAGUGUAGUGGUGAAAUACGUAGAGAUUGGGAAGAACACCAGUGGCGAAGGCGGCUAUCUGGACGGUUUCUGACGCUAAGACGCGAAAGCGUGGGGAGCAAACAGG